rnacentral:rRNA from 1 species
UACGUAGGGUGCGAGCGAUGUCCGGAAUUACUGGGCGUAAAGAGCUCGUAGGUGGUUUGUCGCGUUGUUCGUGAAAACUCACAGCUUAACUGUGGGCGUGCGGGCGAUACGGGCAGACUGGAGUACUGCAGGGGAGACUGGAAUUCCUGGUGUAGCGGUGGAAUGCGCAGAUAUCAGGAGGAACACCGGUGGCGAAGGCGGGUCUCUGGGCAGUAACUGACGCUGAGGAGCGAAAGCGUGGGGAGCGAACAGG